rnacentral:rRNA from 1 species
AUUGAACGCUGGCGGCAUGCUUUACACAUGCAAGUCGAACGGUAACAGGCCGCAAGGUGCUGACGAGUGGCGAACGGGUGAGUAAUGCAUCGGAACGUGCCCAGUCGUGGGGGAUAACGCAGCGAAAGCUGUGCUAAUACCGCAUACGAUCUAUGGAUGAAAGCGGGGGACCGUAAGGCCUCGCGCGAUUGGAGCGGCCGAUGUCAGAUUAGGUAGUUGGUGGGGUAAAGGCUCACCAAGCCGACGAUCUGUAGCUGGUCUGAGAGGACGACCAGCCACACUGGGACUGAGACACGGCCCAGACUCCUACGGGAGGCAGCAGUGGGGAAUUUUGGACAAUGGGCGCAAGCCUGAUCCAGCAAUGCCGCGUGCAGGAAGAAGGCCUUCGGGUUGUAAACUGCUUUUGUACGGAACGAAAAGGCUCUGGUUAAUACCUGGGGCUCAUGACGGUACCGUAAGAAUAAGCACCGGCUAACUACGUGCCAGCAGCCGCCGUAA